rnacentral:rRNA from 1 species
UACGGGGGGGGGCAAGCGUUGUUCGGAAUUACUGGGCGUAAAGCGCAUGUAGGCGGCCAAGCAGGUCGGAUGUGAAAGCCCUCGGCUCAACCAAGGAAGUGCAUUCGAAACCGCAUGGCUCGAGUCCCGGAGAGGGUGGCGGAAUUUCCGGUGUAGCGGUGAAAUGCGUAGAGAUCGGAAGGAACGUCAAUGGCGAAGGCAGCCACCUGGCUUAAUACUGACGCUGAGGCGCGAAAGCGUGGGGAUCAAACAGG